AGUGAACGCUGGCGGUAGGCUUAACACAUGCAAGUCGAACGGCAGCACAGUAAGAGCUUGCUGUUACGGGGGGCGAGUGGCGGACGGGUGAGGUAUACAUCCGAAUCUACACUUUCGUGGGGGCUAACGUAGGGAAGCUUACUCCCAUACCGCAUCCGACCUACGGGGGAAAGCAGGGGAGCUUUGCAGCUUGCGCGAUUGAAUGGGCCGAUGUGGGGUUUGGUAGUUGGCGGGGUAAAGGCCGACCAAGGCGGCGAACCGUAGCUGGACGGAGAGGAUGAUCGCCGACCUGGGAAGUGGGACACGGUCCAGGGGCCUACGGGAGGGAGCAGUGGGGAAUAUUGGGCAGUGGGCGGAAGCCUGAUCCAGCCAUACCGCGUGGGUGGAGAAGGCCUUCGGGUUGUAAAGCCCUUUUGUUGGGAAAGAAAAGCAGCAGGUUGAUACCCCGCUGUUCUGACGGUACCCAAAGAAUAAGCACCGGCUAACUUCGUG
rnacentral:rRNA from 1 species